UGGGGAAUAUUGCGCAAUGGGGGAAACCCUGACGCAGCGACGCCGCGUGCGGGAUGAAGGCCUUCGGGUUGUAAACCGCUUUUGAUUGGGAGCAAGCCUUUUGGGUGAGUGUACCUUUCGAAUAAGCGCCGGCUAACUACGUGCCAGCAGCCGCGGUAAUACGUAGGGGGCUAGCGUUAUCCGGAUUUAUUGGGCGUAAAGCGAGCGCAGGCGGUUAGAAAAGUCUGAAGUGAAAGGCAGUGGCUCAACCAUUGUAGGCUUUGGAAACUGUUUAACUUGAGUGCAGAAGGGGAGAGUGGAAUUCCAUGUGUAGCGGUGAAAUGCGUAGAUAUAUGGAGGAACACCGGUGGCGAAAGCGGCUCUCUGGUCUGUAACUGACGCUGAGGCUCGAAAGCGUGGGGAGCGAACAGG
rnacentral:rRNA from 1 species